rnacentral:rRNA from 1 species
AGUAAUGUAUGGGGAUCUGCCUGAUGGGGGGGGAUAACUACUGGAAACGGUAGCUAAUACCGCAUAAUGUCUACGGACCAAAGCGGGGGACCUCCGGGCCUCGCGCCAUCAGAUGAACCCAUAUGGGAUUAGCUAGUAGGUGGGGUAAUGGCUCACCUAGGCGACGAUCCCUAGCUGGUCUGAGAGGAUGAUCAGCCACACUGGGACUGAGACACGGCCCAG